CCUACGGGUGGCAGCAGUGAGGAAUAUUGGUCAAUGGGAGAGAUCCUGAACCAGCCAAGCCGCGUGAGGGAAGACGGCCCUAUGGGUUGUAAACUUCUUUUGUCGGAGAAUAACACGCCGGACGAGUCCCGGUCUGCGUGUACCCGAUGAAAAAGCAUCGGCUAACUCCGUGCCAGCAGCCGCGGUAAUACGGAGGAUCCGAGCGUUAUCCGGAUUUAUUGGGUUUAAAGGGUGCGUAGGCCGCCUGUCAAGUGAGCUGUAAAAUUUCCGGGCUCAACCCGGGCCGUGCGGCGGAAACUGGCGGGCUUGAGUUGGCGGAAAGCAGGCGGAAUGCGCGGUGUAGCGGUGAAAUGCGUAGAUAUCGCGAAGAACUCCGAUUGCGAAGGCAGCGUGCUGGCGCCGAACUGACGCUGAGGCACGAAAGCGUGGGGAUCGAACAGGAUUAGAUACCCGUGUAGUC
rnacentral:rRNA from 1 species